rnacentral:rRNA from 1 species
AGAGUUUGAUCCUGGCUCAGGAUGAACGCUAGCUACAGGCUUAACACAUGCAAGUCGAGGGGCAGCAUCAUCAAAAGCUUGCUUUGAUGGAUGGCGACCGGCGCACGGGUGAGUAACACGUAUCCAACCUGCCGACAACACUGGGAUAGCCUUUCGAAAGAAAGAUUAAUACCGGAUGGUAUAGUUUUCCCGCAUGGGAUGAUUAUUAAAGAAUUUCGGUUGUCGAUGGGGAUGCGUUCAUUAGGCAGUUGGCGGGGUAACGGCCACCAAACCUACGAUGGAUAGGGGUUCUGAGAGGAACGGUCCCCCANAUUGGAACUGAGACACGGUCCAAACUCCUACGGGCGCA